rnacentral:rRNA from 1 species
UACGUAGGGUGCAAGCGUUAAUCGGAAUUACUGGGCGUAAAGCGUGCGCAGGCGGUUAUAUAAGACAGUUGUGAAAUCCCCGGGCUCAACCUGGGGAACUGCAUCUGUGACUGUAUAGCUAGAGUACGGUAGAGGGGAUGGAAUUCCGCGUGUAGCAGUGAAAUGCGUAGAUAUGCGGAGGAACACCGAUGGCGAAGGCAAUCCCCUGGACCUGUACUGACGCUCAUGCACGAAAGCGUGGGGAGCAACAGG